rnacentral:rRNA from 1 species
GACGAACGCUGGCGGCAUGCCUAAUACAUGCAAGUCGAGCGAACAGAUGAAGUGCUUGCACUUCUGACGUUAGCGGCGAACGGGUGAGUAACACGUAAGGAAUCUACCUAUAAGCGGGGGAUAACAUUCGGAAACGGGUGCUAAUACCGCAUAAUAUCUUCUUCCGCAUGGAAGAAGAUUGAAAGACGGCUCUGCUGUCACUUAUAGAUGACCUUGCGGUGCAUUAGUUAGUUGGUGGGGUAAUGGCCUACCAAGACGAUGAUGCAUAGCCGGCCUGAGAGGGUGAUCGGCCACAUUGGGGCUGAGACACGGCCCAAACUCCUACGGGAGGCAGCAGUAGGGAAUCUUCCGCAAUGGGCGAAAGCCUGACGGAGCAAUGCCGCGUGAGUGAAGAAGGCCUUCGGGUCGUAAAACUCUGUUAUAAGAGAAGAACAAAUUGUAGAGUAACUGCUACAGUCUUGACGGUAUCUUAUCAGAAAGCCACGGCUAACUACGUGCCAGCCGCCGCUGUAA